AGAGAGAGACAUGCGCGCAUAUCAAUAAGCGGAGGAAAAGAAACUAACUAGGAUUCCCCUAGUAACGGCGAGUGAAGCGGGAAGAGCUCAAAUUUGAAAUCUUAAAGGGUUCUACCUUGACGAAUUGUAGUUUAAAGAAGUGUUUUCUGUUGGAGUUUUGGUAAAAGUUCUUUGGAAUAGGACAUCAUAGAGGGUGAGAAUCCCGUAUUUGACCAUUAUUUCCAGCUUUGUGAUACACUUUCAAAGAGUCGGAUUGUUUGGGAAUGCAGUCCAAAAUGGGUGGUAAAUUUCAUCUAAAGCUAAAUAUUGGCGAGAGACCGAUAGCGAACAAGUACCGUGAGGGAAAGAUGAAAAGAACUUUGAAAAGAGAGUUAAACAGUACGUGAAAUUGUCAAAAGGGAAGCGUUUGACACCAGUGUUGUUUUCUCGAAAAUCAAUUAAAAAAGGCAGGAUUUUGUGUUGUAUUGACUUUAUCAGCUUUCUGCACUCUUUUCUUGUCUUUUUUAAUGCACUUUUCGUUUAACAAGUCAACAUCAAUUUCUUUUGUUGUAAAAGGGUCAUUGGAAGGUGGCUUUCUUUUCGGAGAAAGUGUUUAUAGCCUUUGGCCUCUGCAAUCGGAGAGAUUGAGGUCUGCAGCGUAGAUCCUUCGGGGUUAGAUACAUUUGUGCUAAGUUAUAGCCUUUCAUAGACAACUUGUUGACUAUGAUCAGUCAUGUAGCUUACUCGCUUAUGCUAUUUUACCUACGCUUAGGAUGUUGAUGUGAUACUGCGAGCA
rnacentral:rRNA from 1 species